GACGAACGCUGGCGGCGUGCUUAACACAUGCAAGUCGAACGGAAAGGCCCUGCUUUUGUGGGGUGCUCGAGUGGCGAACGGGUGAGUAACACGUGAGUAACCUGCCCUUGACUUCGGGAUAACUUCAGGAAACUGGGGCUAAUACCGGAUAGGAGCUCCUGCUGCAUGGUGGGGGUUGGAAAGUUUCGGCGGUUGGGGAUGGACUCGCGGCUUAUCAGCUUGUUGGUGGGGUAGUGGCUUACCAAGGCUUUGACGGGUAGCCGGCCUGAGAGGGUGACCGGCCACAUUGGGACUGAGAUACGGCCCAGACUCCUACGGGAGGCAGCAGUGGGGAAUAUUGCACAAUGGGCGGAAGCCUGAUGCAACAACGCCGCGUGCGGGAUGACGGCCUUCGGGUUGUAAACCGCUUUCGCCUGUGACGAAGCGUGAGUGACGGUAAUGGGUAAAGAAGCACCGGCUAACUACG
rnacentral:rRNA from 1 species